GAUGAACGCUAGCGGCAGGCUUAAUACAUGCAAGUCGAGGGGCAGCAGGGUGUAGCAAUACACUGCUGGCGACCGGCAAACGGGUGCGGAACACGUACGCAACCUUCCUUCAAGUGGGGAAUAGCCCAGGGAAACUUGGAUUAAUACCUCGUAACAUUGUGAGAUGGCAUCAUUUUACAAUUAUAGUUCCGACGCUUGAAGACGGGCGUGCGCCUGAUUAGGUAGUUGGCGGGGUAACGGCCCACCAAGCCUUCGAUCAGUAACUGGUGUGAGAGCACGACCAGUCACACGGGCACUGAGACACGGGCCCGACUCCUACGGGAGGCAGCAGUAAGGAAUAUUGGUCAAUGGACGCAAGUCUGAACCAG
rnacentral:rRNA from 1 species